AUGUGGCCAGCAGGAUUGAGUCCUCUGAUAGGACAAGGCUGAGUCAUGUGACCUCCCUGAACCACAUAAACUGAAUAAUACUGUUCUGAAAAUAGGAGAAAGUGGUUUGCAGAAAAGAUGAGGUGCUGGCCUGACCACGGUGCGUGCCCCUUGGACAACAAACAGAAUCUGAAGAAUCCAGGAAAUCACAAAGGAUUCUAAGAGGUCACAAAGACUGAUGUUAUCAGGCCCCAAAGCUUCUACAUGAGUGUCAAGAGAAAAAAUACCUUGAUCACUCAGUUGCCCUCUCCUCACUUUUUCUCUGUCCAGGCUUGAAGAACUAUAACCAUUUCCAGGUUCUAAAAGGACAGGUGGGGGAGUUAUUUGUUUGUUUAUUUGUUUGUUUUGAUUUCAGAAAGAUGUGAACUCCAGGAUCUCUUGAGAGACUGCCAGAGCCAGCAGCCCCAAGGAUACUUCAAACAGUGGGCACUGGUGCAAUUCUAUAAAAAGAAACCAGAAACCAUUUAGAUGUGUGUCAGGAAGAAGCACUUCCAGAUGCUUGAGGAAAGAUGCAAGAUAGCAAGAUUUGUUAGGGCGGAUAAUCCAGGCGCCUGCUACCCCAUGAUGGAAGCCAAAGAUGUCUCUGGAGACGCCUCCCACUGCAUCCUUUCCUGCAUUGCCCAAAUGGUCACAACUCAGCCAAGUAGACUCCCUCUCAGAACUUUGGUCUUGAGCAAAGGGAUUCAAGGGUGAAGUGACUGAAGGUCUGUCCUUCUAAAGUGAUACGUGAGCUAAUGGCUGAAGUUUACCAAGCCCUUCCAAGCACUUUUUUCUUAAUUUUUAUUUAUUUAUUUAUUUGAGACAAAGUCUCGCUCUGUCGCCCAGGCUGGAGUGCAGUGGUGCGAUCUCGGUUCACUGCAACCUCUGCCUCCUAGGUUCAAGGGAGUCUCCUGCCUCAUCCUCCCCAGUAGCUGGGAUUACAGGCACGUGCCACCACUCCUGGCUAAUUUUUUUUGUAUUUUUAGUAGAGACAGGUUUUUACCAUGUUGGCCAGGCUGGUCUCAAACUCCUGGCCUCAAGGAAUCCACCUGCCUCGGCCUCCCAAAGUGCUGAAAUUAUACAUGUGAGCCACCAUGCCCAGCCCCAAGUACUUUUUAUAUACCAACUCAUUUAAACUUCACAGUAAUACUGAGAUGAGUAAUAUCAUCACCAUUUUACAGAUCAGAAAACUGAGGCAGAAAGCUGUUAAACAGCCUGCCCCAUGUAGUAGAGUCAAAGACAUGAACCCAGGCCGACUCCUGCACCUUACCUCUACACUGCACUUGUCAAGGUCCUCUGAAACUGCCUGACUCCUGUCUGCUGCAAGCCUCGUUCUUCAGGAGGACCUUAUUUCUGCCAGUUCCCCAACAGCCUUCCAAUAAAGUCCCUUUUGCUUCAAA